GGAGAGGUGUCCGAGUGGCUGAAGGAGCACGCCUGGAAAGUGUGUAAACGGUUAAACGUUUCGAGGGUUCGAAUCCCUCUCUCUCCG
rnacentral:tRNA from 1 species